CCAAUCGAACUCGGAGAUAGCUGGUUCUCCUCGAAAUAGCUUUAGGGCUAGCCUCGCAGUAAGAUACCCGGAGGUAGAGCACUGAAUGUUCUAGGGGCCUUCACCGGUUACCGAAAACUAUCAAACUCCGAAUACCGCAGUAUUAGCUCUGGGAGUCAGACUACGAGAGAUAAGUUCCGUGGUCAAAAGGGAAACAGCCCAGACCUACAGCUAAGGUCCCAAAAUGUAAGUUAAGUGGAAAAGGAUGUGGAGCUGCAUAGACAACUAGGAUGUUGGCUUAGAAGCAGCCACUCAUUUAAAGAGUGCGUAAUAGCUCACUAGUCGAGUGACUCUGCGCCGAAGAUAAACGGGGCUAAAACUUACUACCGAAGCUUAGGAUACAGUAAUGUAUGGUAGAGGAGCAUUGUAUACGGGCAGAAGCCUGACUGGAAGGGAAGGUGGACUGUAUACAAGAGAGAAUGUUGGCAUGAGUAGCGUAAGGCAGGUGAGAAUCCUGCCCGCCGAAAAUCUAAGGUUUCCUGAGGAAGGUUCGUCCGCUCAGGGUUAGUCGGGGCCUAAGCCGAGGGCGAAAGCCGUAGGCGAUGGAUAACAGGCAGAGAUUCCUGUACCACCGGAGGUCGUUAUGAGCGAAGUGGGGACACAGAAGGAUAGACUGAGCACGCCGCUGGUAGAGCGUGUCCAAGCAGUAAGGCUGAUAUGUAGGCAAAUCCGCAUAUCGAAAGGCUGAGCUGUGACGGGGUGGCAAAAGAGCCGGAAGCAGUUGAUUUCACGCUGUCAAGAAAAUCCGCUAGCAAGACCCGAGGUGCCCGUACCGCAAACCGACACAGGUAGAUGAGGAGAGAAUCCUAAGGCGAGCGAGAGAACCAUUGUUAAGGAACUCGGCAAAAUGACCCCGUAACUUCGGGAGAAGGGGUGCCUGCUUCGGCAGGCCGCAGUGAAAAGGCCCAGGCAACUGUUUACCAAAAACACAGGUCUCUGCAAAAGCGAAAGCUGAAGUAUAGGGGCUGACGCCUGCCCGGUGCUGGAAGGUUAAGGGGAGAGCUUAGCGCGAGCGAAGGUUUGAACUUAAGCCCCAGUAAACGGCGGCCGUAACUAUAACGGUCCUAAGGUAGCGAAAUUCCUUGUCGGGUAAGUUCCGACCCGCACGAAAGGCGUAAUGAUCUGGGCACUGUCUCAACAAUAGACUCGGUGAAAUUGUAGUACCGGUAAAGAUGCCGGUUACCCGCAGCAGGACGGAAAGACCCCAUGGAGCUUUACUGUAGCUUGAUAUUGAAUUUCGGCGUUGCAUGUACAGGAUAGGUGGGAGACGAAGAGAUGAGUACGCCAGUAUUCAUGGAGUCACUGUUGGGAUACCACCCUUGUAACGUUGAGGUUCUAACGGUGUGCCGUAAACCGGCAUCCGGACAGUGUCAGGUGGGCAGUUUGACUGGGGCGGUCGCCUCCUAAAGAGUAACGGAGGCGCCCAAAGGUUCCCUCAGCGCGGACGGAAAUCGCGCGAAGAGUGUAAAGGCAGAAGGGAGCUUGACUGCGAGACCAACAAGUCGAGCAGGGACGAAAGUCGGGCUUAGUGAUCCGGUGGUUCCGAGUGGAAGGGCCAUCGCUCAACGGAUAAAAGCUACCCUGGGGAUAACAGGCUGAUACCCCCCAAGAGUUCACAUCGACGGGGGUGUUUGGCACCUCGAUGUCGGCUCGUCGCAUCCUGGGGCUGUAGUAGGUCCCAAGGGUUGGGCUGUUCGCCCAUUAAAGAGGUACGCGAGCUGGGUUCAGAACGUCGUGAGACAGUUCGGUCCCUAUCCGCUGUGGGCGUUGGAAAUUUGAGUGGAGCUGUCCCUAGUACGAGAGGACCGGGAUGGACGUAGCUCUGGUGCACCAGUUGUUCUGCCAAGAGCAUAGCUGGGUAGCUACCUACGGACGGGAUAAGCGCUGAAAGCAUCUAAGUGCGAAGCCCCCCACAAGAAAAGAUUUCCUCCUUUAAGGUAAGACCCGUGAGAGACUAUCACGUUGAUAGGCCUCAGGUGUAAGUGCAGUAAUGCAUUCAGCUGAGAGGUACUAAUAGGUCGAACGCUUAACCAA
rnacentral:rRNA from 1 species